rnacentral:rRNA from 1 species
GACGAACGCUGGCGGCGUGCUUAACACAUGCAAGUCGAACGGAAAGGCCCUGCUUUUGUGGGGUGCUCGAGUGGCGAACGGGUGAGUAACACGUGAGUAACCUGCCCUUGACUUUGGGAUAACUUCAGGAAACUCGGGCUAAUACCGGAUAGAAGCUCCUGCUCCAUGGUGGGGGUUGGAAAGUUUCGGCGGUGGGGGAUGGACUCGCGGCUUACCAGCUGGUUGGUGGGGUAGUGGCUUACCAAGGCUUCGACGGGUAGGCGGCCUGAGAGGUUGACCGGCGACAUUGGGACUGAGAUAGGGAGCAGAAGGCUACGGGAGGCAGUAGUGGGGAAUAUUGCACAAUGAGCGGAAGCCUGUUGCAGCAACGCCGCGUGCGUGAUGCCGGCCUUCGGGGUGUAAACAGCUUUCGACGGUGACGAAGAGUGAGUGACGGUAAUGGGUAAAGAAGCACCGGCUAACUACGUG